CACUAAACAAAAAGAAACACACAAACAGCAACUAAAACAACUAAAUAGGCAGAUUCGAAAUAAAUAACAAAGUGAAGGGUUUUAGGAACGCAAAUCUGGAAUUGGAGUGAUUCCUUGGUCUUCCUUUGUUGAAUUGCAUGGGUUGCCUCCCAAGUAGCGCUUUCUUUAACGUCGUACAGCCGGACGAAAAGCCCAUUCAUUCUCCAUUUGUGCCCACGGCACCCAAAGAAAUAUCAUCCA
rnacentral:lncRNA from 1 species